rnacentral:rRNA from 1 species
AUGAUGAUUGGCGAUGGAGGAAAGCGGCAUACUAUCUCCGAUGGCCACGUCUUGCCACGACUGGCAUCGGAGAAGUUAGUUGUUGCCUCCACUUCGCCCUCCGCUAUCAACAUUGAAGAAGAAUUUGAAGCUGAUAUCAUGCAAAAUAUCAACCGGAGCUCCGACACCCCCAUCUCCGUGCACCGUGUCAUGUUUGGACCCGAAGGCUGGGCGGACCUACCACAUGGAUUAUUGCACUCCAUCAUUGUCCUGUUGGGUUCAACUCGUGACCUUCUUGCAUUCAUCGCCACCUGCCCUAGCUGGUAUGCCGCAUUCAUGUCAAUCAAAUCUACCUUAGGCGAGCUCUUCCCACCUGUUAUUUUCCGGAACUGUGCUGACCAGACAAGCUCAGCUGGCUCUAACAUUGGAAACACAUGGGAGCUCAUUGAUCCUGUAUAUCCAAGUACUCCGUUGUGUCGCUUGACCCCUCCAAGUAUUUUGGACAAAAUGGCAGUCGUCAAAUGUUCUUAUGGUCAUGCUAUUUUCUGCUACGAGAGAUCCCUUGUCAUUAUGGACGUGCUCACUGGCACUACGGUUGCAGCUCCACCUUUUCCAUUGAGUCAACUAUGCUACAGAACCUUCAUAUCUCCAGAGGCGUCACCAGAUUCAUAUCUAUUUUUCAGCAGCCCGCACUGCCUGUAUGCUUGGCGAGUUGGGAGCCCCUCUUGGUUGCACUGCGAUUUUCUAAAUGCACAUUUGAUCAAGGAGAUGGUGUCCUUCAAAGGUGGGGUCAUUAUGAGGAUGCGUCAAAAACUAUACACCGUGCAUUUGACACCUCAGUUUCAUGUUGAGCUACUAAGACUUGAUUGCAGAGAUUAUAUGGACCCGUACGUGCUUUCCGGAAAUUUGGUGGCUUGUGAAGACACACUUCUCCUACUUGGUCGUAACGGGGAAGCCUUCUCCAUUGACUUCUCAACUGAACCUGCAAAGUAUGUGAUCGUGGAAGAGGGAGGCUUGAAGAAGUGGAAGUUCUUCUUGGGCGAGAAACGUACUGGACAGCCACGACUCUUAGUGAACCCAGAGAGAAUGGGUUUAAGGGGUGGCCUUGUCUAUCAGUUGGAUGAAAACGCUCGAGUAUUUUCAUACCCAGUAGAUGGCAACCAACAUGAGCAGUUGGAGCCAGAACCUUGUUUUGCGACGAUCAAUGCUCAUCUUGCUCGUAAUCCUACAUCCUUUGCAGCUUGGAUAUGA